CCAGAUUGAUCCUGCCAGUAGCAUUUGUUUGUGUCUAAGAUUAAGCAAUGCACUUGUAAGCACAUACGGCCAGUAUAGUGAAAUUGCAAAUGGCUCAUUAAAUCAGUCAUGCUUUCUUUGAUUGCUCCAUCUGUUACUUGGAUAACUGUGAUAAUGCUAGAGCUGAUAAAUGCCAACGAGUGUUGACCUCGUGGGAUUGGUGCAUUUAUCAGACCAAGACCACUCUGGGCUCAAUCCGCCGCAAUGAUUACUCUAGAUGACCAUGGGCCAAUACGUGUGUAUGCCUACAUGUGUAUGCCUACUCUAUCAAGUUUCUAUGGUACUUUCUAGGCCUACCAUGGUGAUCACAGAUAACUGGGAAUAAGGGCUCAAUUCCAGAGAGGGAUCCUGAAAAAUGGCUACCGGAUGCAAGGAAGGCAGCAGGUGCCCAAUUUACCCACUCCCGGCUUGAGGUGGUAGUGACAAAAAAUAACAGUACAGGAAACAUAUGAGUCAUGAUAAUUGGAAUGAGUAAACUUUUAAUAUUUUAAUGAGGAUACAUUGGAGCGCAAGUCUGGAGCCAGCAGUCACCGUAAUUCCAGCUCCAGAAGCGUAUGUCAUGUUGCAGCAGUAAGAACCUCGUAGCUGGAUAUUGGGAUCGAGAUGCCAGUCCACCGUGAGGCGACCUACUGCCUGUCCCAGCCCAAGCCUCUCAACACCCCCUUGAUGCUCUUGACUUAGUGUCCAGGGGGCCCAGAGCAUUUAUUUUAGAAAAAUGUGAGUAUUGAAAGCAGGGCAUUGCAUGAAUACGUGAUCUCUGAAUAAUGGAGUAGGUUUUUGGGACUGGCAUCAUGAUCAAGAAGGAUGGCUGGGGGCAUUCGUAUUUUGCCACAAGAGUGAAAGCAUUAGUCAUGAAUCUUUUUAUUUUUCAAGAAUUUUAAUAUUUUAAUUGAAGGUUCGUACAUGAUCAGAUACUGUCAUAGGUCCGACCAUAAACGAAGAUGACUUGCGAUCCGGCAGCGUAAUUACCAUGACCUGCAUAGCAGUUUCCAGGUAACCAAAAUCGUUGGGUUCUAGGGGGAGUAUGGUUGCAAAGCUGUAAGUUAAAGGAAUCCAUGCAAGGGCCCUACCAGGAGUGGAGCCAGUGGCUUCAUUUGAAUGAACAUGAGAAACCUCACCCAGUCUAGACAUAGAGGCGUUCAACUGCUUAAAGGGAGAAGUGCAUUCAGCCACUUGAGAUCGAGCAAUUAUAGGUCUGUGAUGGCCUUAGAUGCCUAGGGCUGCACAUGCACUAGACUGAACAGAUCAGCGUAUGUCAACCCUUACAUGACAGGUGCAGGUAACCCACUGCACCCCGUUCAUGGUAGGGAAUGGGGAUUGCAAUUAUUUCCCAUGAACAAGGAAUUUCCAGUAAAUUUGGGCCAUAAACUCAAGUUGAUUAAGUCCAUGCCCUUUGUAAACAUUGCUGGUCAUUACUACUGAUUGGAUGAUUUAGUGAGGCCCUCAGAUUGGUCACCCAAGGGCCGGCAAUGACCCUGGCAGAGCGCUGAGAAGACAAUCAUUUAGACAAUCAAACUUGACUAUCCUUAGGAAGUAAAAGUCGUAACAAGGUUUCUGUAGGUGAACUUGCAAAAG
rnacentral:rRNA from 1 species